rnacentral:rRNA from 1 species
GGUGAACGUUGGCGGCGCGUCUAAUACAUGCAAGUCGAGCGAGGCUUCGAGCCGAGCGGCGGACGGCUGAGUAACACGUUGGUAGCUACCCCGUACUCAGGGAUAACACUGAGAAAUCAGUGCUAAUACCGGAUGGUCCCGAAAGGGUAAAGAUUUAUCGGUACGGGAGGUGCCUGCGGCCUAUCAGCUAGUUGGUGAGGUAAUGGCUCACCAAGGCUAUGACGGGUAACUGGUCUGAGAGGACGACCAGUCAGAGGGAAACUGAGACACGGUUCCCACUCCUACGGGAGGCAGCAGUAAAGAAUCUUCCGCAAUGGACGCAAGUCUGACGGAGCGACGCCGCGUGCAGGAUGGAGGCCUUCGGUCGGUAACUAGCUUUCUUGAGGGAAGUAAUUACUUGAAUGUACCUCCAGGAAUAAGCACCGGCAAAUACACGUG